rnacentral:rRNA from 1 species
GAUGAACGCUGACAGAAUGCUUAACACAUGCAAGUCAACUUGGACUUCGGUUUGGGUGGCGGACGGGUGAGUAACGCGUAAAGAACUUGCCUCACAGAUAGGGACAACAUUUGGAAACGAAUGCUAAUACCUGAUAUUAUGAUUUUAGGGCAUCCUAGAAUUAUGAAAGCUAUAUGCGCUGUGAGAGAGCUUUGCGUCCCAUUAGCUAGUUGGAGAGGUAACGGCUCACCAAGGCGAUGAUGGGUAGCCGGCCUGAGAGGGUGAUCGGCCACAAGGGGACUGAGACACGGCCCUUACUCCUACGGGAGGCAGCAGUGGGGAAUAUUGGACAAUGGACCAAGAGUCUGAUCCAGCAAUUCUGUGUGCACGAUGAAGUUUUUCGGAAUGUAAAGUGCUUUCAGUUGGGAAGAAAAAAAUGACGGUACCAACAGAAGAAGUGACGGCUAAAUACGUGCCAGCAGCCGCGGUAAUACGUAUGUCACAAGCGUUAUCCGGAUUUAUCGGGCGUAAAGCGCGUCUAGGUGGUUAUAUAAGUCUGAUGUGAAAAUGCAGGGCUCAACUCUGUAUUGCGUUGGAAACUGUGUAACUAGAGUACUGGAGAGGUAGCGGAACUACAGUGUAGAGGUGUAAUUCGUAGAUUUUUGUAGGAAUGCCGAUUGGGAAGUGGCUUUUGUACUGAAACUUAAAGUCCAAGCGGGCAAUGUGGUUACAAAACCGAUUAAAUCCCAGGAUGUAUUAAGGUCGAGUUUAAAUUGGGGUUAGGCUAUUCGGCCGCCCCCCCCGGGGGGUCGGGCCUUUUAAAUCAAAUAAAUAAGGA